rnacentral:pre_miRNA from 1 species
GUUGAAGCGUCCGAGCAUGCGGUUACCACUCGUACCCCGCUCAGUAACAUGUGCGAACUUAUUAUCGCACAUGUUGCAGAGCGGGGUACAAGUGGUGGCCGCGUACUCUGCUACGAUUG